UGACAGAGUCUCUCUCUCACUCACGUUUAUAAUUGAGACAAUGAUGGGGCUCUGACGCUACUCUCUUCCCAUAGAGGAGAGAGGAUUGGUACGAAGGUCUCAGAAACGGAUUGACAGCUCUGGUUUGGCUUUUAAAUAUAUUUGAAGAUGCAAGGGCUAUAUAUGACUAUAUUACAAGCUUUCACUAUAUCAUAUAUUCUCUUUAUUGUUUAUCUCUAAAAUUUCACUGUGUGGGUACUGCCGCCAUAGACAAUGCAACACCAGCAGUCUUGGUUGAAAGGGGAAAAAAAAAUGGUGUCAGCUCAUCUCAGUGGGGAAAAGUCCGGGGGAAGAGUUACCUGAGAUGACGUGUUUGAGUUGAGGCAUGAAUUGAAUUAGAAAAUCCUCAUCACACGCUUUCAAAAGCACGCGUUACGGUGUCACUCACGUCAUCUUUUUUUAUUUCCUUCAUUGUCUUUCUGGUCACUCUAUACUGACCAGUUUUGCAGUACGUACUGAGAGGCAGAUUGCAUCUCUCUCUCUCUCUCUCUCUCUCUCACACAGUCUCCUCACUCUUCUUGAUAGAUUCAUUUCAUACCAAUUUGCAUGAUAUCUGAUGUCACUCACCACCCUAGUCUUCACUCUCCCCCAUAACUGUGUGAGCCUGGAGCAAGGCACAUGAUUUGGCACGCGCUGGAGGAGGGUACAAUGGGUUGUGUGGGAGUUUUACAUUACUCAGAGUCCAAUGCAUACUGCAGGGGUUUAUCUAUGCAGAGCAUAGGUUGGCAUGACAUGGCAUGCAAGUGUAGUACUGCUCAAGGACUGAUGGUUGCGCAUGCAUGCCAUGCUCCAUGCAAAAUAUAUAUAUAUAUAGUUUUUACGAAGCACAGAGAGACAAAAUUCAAUUCAGCCAAUGUUGAUUUUUUUACUGUUUCAAUUCUAUAUUUUGUUGUGUUUUUUUAUGUUUUUGUUUUUUGGUAGUGAUGAGAUGAUGAUGAUGCUAUAAGAAAAAGGUCCCAAGAGAAUUCUCUUGAUUUGGGGCCCAUUUGAUCUCAGUGGUAUGUUGCUUUUGCAGCAGCUUAGCUUAAGCUGACACAGGGAGAGAAACGUUAAGAGGAAGAGAAAGACCACACAAUGCCCGCUAUUCUUGACCUCUUCUCUGCCCACGUAGAUGUAUAGAUAUCCAGUUGAGUUUGGAUUUUGGAAAGAACGAGCUCUGAAUUUUUGUUGUUUCCCUUUCAUAUCGUUUUGCAUGCCUUGCUAAUACUUACAUUGAAUAGUGCAAAACAGGAAAAAAGCUCAAGCAGAUCGACACAUGGAUUGGUGCUCUUAUAUAUAUCCCCAUAUGUGUCAUUGUGUGGUGUGCUUUCUCUUGAAGCCUAAAAGGCUGGACCAGUAGGGAAUAUUGUAAGCCAGACACAUGGUUUAAAAUAAGUGAGAAAUGAUAUAUUUGAAUCUAAA